AAGCUCGUAGUUGAAUUUCGGGAUUAGUACGUUGGUCGUGCCUUAGGUACGUACUGGUGUUACUGGUUCCUACCUUCUGACGAACCAUCAUGUCAUUAAUUCGGCGUGGUGGGGAAUCAGGACUGUUACUUUGAAAAAAUUAGAGUGUUUAAAGCAGGCUCGCGCUUGAAUACAUUAGCAUGGAAUAAUGAAAUAGGACGUUGAUCCUAUUUUGUUGGUUUCUAGGAUUGACGUAAUGAUUAAUAGGGAUAGUUGGG
rnacentral:rRNA from 1 species